rnacentral:rRNA from 1 species
AGUGAACGCUGGCGGUAGGCCUAACACAUGCAAGUCGAACGGCAGCACAGUAAGAGCUUGCUCUUACGGGUGGCGAGUGGCGGACGGGUGAGGAAUACAUCGGAAUCUACUUUUUCGUGGGGGAUAACGUAGGGAAACUUACGCUAAUACCGCAUACGACCUACGGGUGAAAGCAGGGGAUCUUCGGACCUUUCGCGAUUGAAUGAGCCGAUGUCGGAUUAGCUAGCUGGCGGGGUAAAGGCCCACCAAGGCGACGAUCCGUAGCUGGUCUGAGAGGAGGAUCAGCCACACUGGAACUGAGACACGGUCCAGACUCCUACGGGAGGCAGCAGUGGGGAAUAUUGGACAAUGGGCGAAAGCCUGAUCCAGCCAUACCGCGUGGGUGAAGAAGGCCUUCGGGUUGUAAAGCCCUUUUGUUGGGAAAGAAAAGCAGCAGGUUAAUACCACGCUGUUCUGACGGUACCCAAAGAAUAAGCACCGGCUAACUUCGUG